rnacentral:tRNA from 1 species
ACUCCCACCCCUAACUCCCAAAGCUAGGAUUCUAAACUAAACUAUUCUUUG